rnacentral:rRNA from 1 species
GAUGAACGCUAGCGAUAGGCUUAACACAUGCAAGUCGAGGGACCGGCGCACGGGUGCGUAAUGUCUGGGAAACUGCCUGAUGGAGGGGGAUAACCACUGGAAACGGUAGCUAAUACCGCAUACCAUCAGAUGUGCCCAGAUGGGAUUAGCUAGUAGGUGGGGUACUGGCUCACCUAGGCGACGAGCCCUAGCUGGUCUGAGAGGAUGUCCAGCCACACUGGAACUGAGACACGGUCCAGACUCCUACGGGAGGCAGCAGUGGGGAAUAUUGCACAAUGGGCGCAAGCCUGAUGCAGCCAUGCCGCGUGUGUGAAGAAGGCCUUCGGGUUGUAAAGCACUUUCAGCGGGGAGGCGUUACCCGCAGAAGAAGCACCGGCUAACUCCGUGCCAGCAGCCGCGGUAAUAC